rnacentral:rRNA from 1 species
GAUGAACGCUGGCGGCGUGCCUAAUACAUGCAAGUCGAGCGAACGGACGAGAAGCUUGCUUCUCUGAUGUUAGCGGCGGACGGGUGAGUAACACGUGGAUAACCUACCUAUAAGACUGGGAUAACUUCGGGAAACCGGAGCUAAUACCGGAUAAUAUUUUUAACCGCAUGGUUCAAGAGUGAAAGACGGUCUUGCUGUCACUUAUAGAUGGAUCCGCGCUGCAUUAGCUAGUUGGUAAGGUAACGGCUUACCAAGGCAACGAUGCAUAGCCGACCUGAGAGGGUGAUCGGCCACACUGGAACUGAGACACGGUCCAGACUCCUACGGGAGGCAGCAGUAGGGAAUCUUCCGCAAUGGGCGAAAGCCUGACGGAGCAACGCCGCGUGAGUGAUGAAGGUCUUCGGAUCGUAAAACUCUGUUAUUAGGGAAGAACAUAUGUGUAAGUAACUGUGCACAUCUUGACGGUACCUAAUCAGAAAGCCACGGCUAACUACGUG